rnacentral:tRNA from 1 species
GGGUACGUAGCUCAGUUGGCUAGUAGCGCUUCCUUGACGUGGAAGAGGUCGGGGGUUCAAGUCCCUCCGUACCCACCA